AGAUCUUAGCGGUUGUUCCGGGGUCCGUGUGUUCGUCUGUGUGUCUGUGUGUCCGCGGACGUGUCCCGGGUCUUCGGGCCAGUCUGUUGGCCCAUCCCGCACCUCCGUCGCCGCCAUGCCGCCUGGGAAGCCGCUGCAGCCUCGGCUGCAGAUUAAGAUGUACCAGCUGUUCCUGUGCUGGAUCCGCGAUCCCAAUACACACCGCGCUCUGCCGGACCGGCUGCGGCGCAUCCAGGACGCGACCCCCGACCCUGCGACCUCUGACUCGAUCACCCGUGACCCCGUAAUACCCCACCCUGCGAGCCCCGACCCCAAGACCCUUGACCUCUCUAACCGUGAACCACUCGUGACUCCGAGUCUCCCGACCCCGCCACCCACGAUGCCGCAACACCCCACCACUCGACCUCUGACCCUGCCCACGCGCUGUCCCUUGGCGCCCCCGCCUGCGCCCGACCAGCACGAGGCCGGAGGAGGACGACGACGACAACAGGACCUAGAGAGGUGAGUGACAAUGUGGAAGCCUAGACGGGGGGGGGCGGGGGGUUGUGACGUCACAGGAGGACAUCUGAGGUCAUGGGAAUCCCUAGCCGGUGGGUGGGGGAGGGACCAGGACGUGGAGUGGCCGAGGCUGUGAGAGGAGGAAGAUAGGCGUAUACCGGAUUCAGUGACUUAUGAUGAUGUGCAUGUGAACUUCACUAAAGAAGAGUGGGAUUUGCUGGAUCCUUCCCAGAUGAAUCUCUACAAAGACGUGAUGCUGGAGACCUACUGGAACCUCAUUGCUAUAGGCUACAAUUGGGAAGAUCAUCAUAUUGAAGAACAAUGUCAAAGUUCUAAAAGUCAUGAAAGGAAUGUAAGAAGUCAUAGUGGAGAGAAACCCUAUGAAUGUAAUAAGUGUGGUAAAGCCUUUGCAAGACCCAUUUAUCUCCAAAAUCAUAAAAGAACACAUACUGGAGAGAAAGCUUAUGAAUGUAAUCAAUGUGAUGAAGCCUUUGCAAGACCCAGUCAACUCCAAAGACAUAAAAGAAUGCAUACUGCGGAGAAACCCUAUGACUGUAAUCAGUGUGGUAAAGCCUUUGCAAGACCCAGUCAUCUCCAAUAUCAUAAAAGCACACAUACUGGAGAUAAACCUUAUGAAUGUAAUCAAUGUGGUAAAGCCUUCGUAUGGCACAGUCAUCUCCAAAUACAUAAAAGAACACAUAGUGGAGAAAAACCUUAUGAAUGUAUUCUAUGUGGUAAAGCCUUUGCAAUACCCAGUCAUCUCCAAAGACAUAAAAGCAUACAUACUGGAGAGAAACCUUAUGAAUGUAAUCAAUGUGGUAAAGCCUUUUCACAGGGGAGUCAUCUCCAAUAUCAUAAAAGAACACAUACCGGAGAGAAAGCUUAUGAAUGUAAUCAAUGUGGUAAAGCCUUUUCACAGGGGAGUCAUCUCCAAUAUCAGAACACAUACGGGAGAGAAAGCUUAUGAAUGUAAUCAAUGUGAUGAAGCCUUUGCAAGACCCAGUCAACUCCAAAGACAUAAAAGAAUGCAUACUGCGGAGAAACCCUAUGAAUGUAAUCAGUGUGGUAAAGCCUAUGCAGAAGAGAGAACACUCCAAUAUCAUAAAAGAAUACAUACUGGAGAGAAACCUUAUAAUCAAUGAGGUGAAGCCUUUGCAACACCCAGUCAUCUCCAGUGUUAUACAAUAACACAUAUUGGAGAGAAACCUUAUGAAUAUAAUCAAUGUGAUGAAGCCUUUGCAAGACCCAGUCAUCUCCAAAGACAUAAAAGAACACAUACUGGAGAGAAGCCUUAUGAAUGUAUUCAAUUUGAUAAAGUCUUUUCAUGGCACAGUACUCUCCAGUAUCAUAAAAGAGCACAUACUGGGGAGAAACCUUAGGGAUGGCAUUAAUGUGGUAAAGCCUGUUCACAAGGGAGAAGUCUCCAAAAAUAUAAAAGAACACAUACUGGAGAGAAACCCUAUGAAUGUAAUCUAUGUGAUAAAAGCCUUUGCACUAAGUUCUUGUCUCAAAAAUCAUAAAAUAACCGUUUUUUGUGUU
rnacentral:lncRNA from 1 species